ACUGGGUUUUGAUUAGAUAAAGUUUAGCCUUUGCUACUUGCUUGUAAACGCGCGUGCUGAUCCAGCCGCCCGUCUUCUUGUUUUCGAAACCCCACUUCAUUAGAGAUUGAGUUUGAAACCUUCAUUUACAUCUAGUAAUUUAGUACUUGUUCUACUUGUUCUUGCUGGUUCUUCGAUUGCUUGCAGGACGAGUGCCCUAGUGGCCGGGUGUUGCGCUCCACAAGAUCGUGACAGCCAUUGGAGGUGGUGUAUCGGUUGCUAAGGCGCGGUCUUGAGGGCUGUAGUCGGGCCGUGAACGUCAUCUCCAUUCACUAAUCGAGUUAUACAGCGCCUCUCAUCGAAAGCUCAGGCGAAAACUCUAGUGGGUUCACAUCCGUUGGUAAUCAGAGCAAGGUUUAUCGGUGAGAGAUUUUCAAUUCUUCGUGUUUGUUUUUUCCUAUAGUCCAAAAAAAGACAAAAAAUAUAGCAGAUUUGUUUUCCAUAAUCCUAUAAAUCCUUUGUGCCGUGGCUAGUACUACUUAGUUAGGGCUGGUUGAAUGAGUGUUUGCUUCGGUCGUGUCCAGUGCUGGUUUUAGUUUAGUCCUUUAGAGUUUUGAGUUCUUGUCACCAUCUAGUCACAACUGCAUCCAAUCUAUUGUGGGUUCGAAUUUGAGUAGAUCUUGAUAAUAGGUGCAGCCACUUGUUGGUCUAUUCUGCGUUUCCAUCAACGUUAUCCAAAAGGAAAGAUAGCACUUCAUACUUGUGCUAGAUAUAUUGAAUUUUGAGGUUCAGCCUUACUCUAGUGAGAGGGUGAGAGUGGUGAAGUGAUAUUUUGUACUAUUUUGUUUAUAUAAUCAGGUUUUGAGGUUCUCCAAAAAAAAGAAAAGAGAAAGAAAAAAAAAAGAAAGAAAAAAAAGAAAGAAAAAAAGAAAAAAAGAGAAAAAAAAUCAAAAAAAGGGAUUGUUGUUCCUUUUGUUUCCAGUAGGGCUGCUCAUUUUGUUUCUAGUGGUGUGCUGUGUUUUCCCUUUGUGUCCAGGCUCGCGUCUCUAGCACGGUCUAGGCUAGGACCAGCACAGUACCACCGUUGAGCGUUUAUUCAACUUGCUUUUUAUAACUAACGUGGUGCUAGUUCGAUCCUUGUUUCAGCCCACCUAUAGCUCCACAUAUUCUACAGCUUGAUAGGUUUUGUUGCUGCGGCACCGAUACACUUCGUCCAUUGCUGUGGAUUUGUUGGUAGCCAUUCCCUCCUGUUGAGCAAGGUAAGAAUUGGUAAGAACUUGUUAGACAGGUUGAUAGAGAGCGUCUUACAGUAGCCACAUCCUAAUAGCUGUAGGGUUUUUAUUUCUUCACCUAUUUUUCUUGUUUCCACUGUGUGUUUUUUUUAAACCAUGUCAGAGACAGAGGAUACCAACAAAAUUCCACAGUCACCUCGCACUAAGGGCAUCAUACAACAUUUUGAAAGGCAAGUGAAGCUACACACAGAGGGACUUGAUGACGACUUGAAGGUGACGAAUGACAAGCUUGGGCAGUUGGAGGACACGCAGAUUGCCACAAACAACAAGAUUACAAAGAUGGAGGCAUCUAUUACUAGUAUGGAUAAAAGUCUUGCUGCUCUUCUCAAACGCUUUGAUGACUUCCACACAAUGGACAAAGAGAAGCAUAAGGAAGAAAACAAGGAGGAAGACCGAGUGGAUGGCAAUUAUGAUGAUGAUUACACUGCUGAUACGGAACGAGAUGAUCAAGACACUCAUCAUCGACGUCGCCUACGUCACACACGUAGAGGUAUGGGUGGCCACCACCGACGCGAGGUACACAAUAAUAAUGAUGCUUUCAGUAAGAUUAAAUUUAAAAUACCUCCUUUCGAUGCAAGGGCUAUGGGCACGUACAGCGAGAAUGUCCAAACAAGCGUGUUUUGGUGGUUAACGCUGAUGGUGGGUAUUCCUCUGCUAGUGAUUUUGAUGACAAUACACGUGCUUUGCUUGCUGCUGAUGAUACAGGUAGGGAUGAAGCAAUAGAAGAGCAGAUAGGUACAGAGAAUGUAGAGCAUUAUGAGAGUCUUAUUGUGCAGCGUGUGCUUAGUGCUCAAGCGGAGAAGGUAGAGCAGAAUCAGCGGCAUACAUUGUUCCAAACAAAGUAUGUUAUUAAAGAGCGUUCUUGUCGUUUGAUUAUUGAUGGAGGUAGCUGCAACAACUUGGCUAGCAGCGACAUGGUGGAGAAGCUUGCACUUACCACCAAAUCACAUCCACAUCCAUAUCACAUUCGGUGGCUGAACAACAGUGGUAAGGCCAAGGUAACAAAACUAGUGCGAAUUAAUUUUACUAUUGGUUCAUACCAUGAUGUUUUUGAAUGUGAUGUUGUACCUAUGGAAGCUUGUAAUAUUCUGCUAGGUAGACCAUGGCAAUUUGAUAAGGAAUGUAUACAUCAUGGUAGAUCAAAUCAGUAUUCGUUUAUGCACCAUGAUAUGAAAAUUGUUUUGCUACCUAUGUCUCCCGAAGCUAUCGUAAGUGAUGAAGUUGCUAAAAUUACCAAGGCUAAAAUUAAGAACAAUGCAGAUACCAAUGGAAAUAACAGAGAUGAGAUAAGAUUAAAUGGACAUUGCAUGCUUGCUACUAAAUUUGAAGUUAAUGAACUAAUUGCUUCCACAUCUAUUGCUUAUGCUUUGGUAUGUAAGGGUGUUUUGAUUUCAAUUGAAGAUAUGCUGCAUUCUUUGCCCCCUGCUGUUCAUAACAUUUUGCAGGAGUAUGCUGAUGUUUUUCCAAGUGAGAUACCGGCAGGGCUGCCACCUAUACGUGGGAUUGAGCACCAAAUUGAUCUUAUUCCUGGUGCAUCUUUGCCAAACCGCGCGCCAUACAGGACAAAUCCAGAGGAAACAAAAGAGAUCCAGCGGCAAGUGCAAGAACUCCUCGACAAAGGUUAUGGAAUUGAGGUUGAUCAAGCCAAGGUAGAAGCUAUACAGGGAUGGCCUGUACUAAAGACAAUCACCCAGGUGCGGAGUUUCUUAGGACUUGCUGGGUUUUAUCGCCGUUUUGUGAAGGAUUUCAGCACCAUUGCUGCACCAUUGAAUGAGCUUACAAAGAAGGGAGUGCCUUUUGUGUGGAGCAAAGUACAAGAGAAUUCCUUCAACAUGUUAAAAGAUAAGUUAACACAUGCACCUCUCCUACAGCUUCCUGAUUUUAAUAAGACUUUUGAGCUUGAGUGUGAUGCUAGUGGGAUUGGUUUGGGAGGUGUUUUGCUACAAGAGGGUAAACCUGUUGCAUAUUUUAGUGAGAAAUUGAGUGGGCCUGUUCUGAACUAUUCAACUUAUGAUAAAGAAUUGUAUGCUCUUGUCCGAACUUUAGAAACAUGGCAACAUUAUUUGUGGCCCAAAGAGUUUGUUAUUCAUUCUGAUCAUGAAUCUUUAAAACAUAUUCGUAGUCAAGGAAAACUAAAUCGCAGACAUGCUAAGUGGGUAGAAUUUAUUGAAUCCUUUCCUUAUGUUAUUAAGCACAAGAAAGGGAAGGAGAAUAUCAUUGCUGAUGCUUUGUCAAGGAGAUAUACUUCGCUAAAUCAACUUGAUUACAAGAUUUUUGGAUUAGAAACGAUCAAAGACCAAUAUGUUCAUGAUGCUGAUUUUAAUGAAGUGUUGCUGCGUUGUAAAGAUGGAAAAGGAUGGAACAAAUUCAUCGUUAGUGAUGGGUUUGUGUUUAGAGCUAACAAGCUAUGCAUUCCAGCUAGCUCUGUUCGUUUGUUGUUGUUACAGGAAGCUCAUGGAGGAGGUUUGAUGGGACAUUUUCGAGCAAAGAAGACGGAGGACAUACUUGCUGAUUUGAAACCAUAUUUGGGUGAGGAACAUGAGCUUGAGUCGAGGACGACUCAAAUCCAAGAAAGGGAGGAUGAUGAGGACAUCAACACCAUCGAUAUAUCCGCACCUACACCAGUUGGUCCUCUUACUCAUGCUCGUGCCCGUCAACUCAACCUUCAAGUAAGUUCAGUUUUAAACUCUUGUCAAUCAUAUUUAGACAAUGGAGACACGUGCACUUUCGUGUUGCUCAGGAAUAAUGGACAAGAUCAGCAAGGGUAGGUUCAACUGCAUUCGGAAUUUGAGGCAACACCAACUUCAAGGGCUGAUUGCAUAUGGGAAGAGUGAUAACUUAACAAAGGUGAUUGGAGAUCAGGUCCAAGCCUCCACAACAUCCUCUAUCAAGUUACCACGUCGCUUCUAAAGCAAGGAAACAAAGAGUCCAAACCCAACACGUUUUGGGAGUUGGAUUCGGACUGGAAAAUAACUCUAACUUGUAUGGAUCACCACGGCGUCAUAUGGACUCCAACUGGGACAUUCCUAUACUUGAUGGAAAGCUCAUGAAGUCUACUUUCCAAUGGGUCCAACCACAUAUCUAUGCAGCUUAUGAGUCGGGCGCAGUCCUUGUUUUUGUGCCACACCUUUUUCUGUUUUGGUGCUGCGUCACCCUAUUUUGGACCAAUGGCCCAUGUAUCAAGUUGAGUCCAUUAGGGACGCGUCCUAGGGUUGGAGGACGACUCUAGCACCCCUUUGGUCGUCCUCCCCUCUAUUUAUUUACAUCUAGAGCCGCCAUGAACAACUGGGUUUUGAUUAGAUAAAGUUUAGCCUUCGCUACUUGCUUGUAAAUGCGCGUGCUGAUCCAGCCGCCCGUCUUCUUGUUUUCGAAACCCCACUUCAUUAGAGAUUGAGUUUGAAACCUUCAUUUACAUCUAGUAAUUUAGUACUUGUUCUACUUGUUCUUGCUGGUUCUUCGAUUGCUUGCAGGACGAGUGCCCUAGUGGCCGGGUGUUGCGCUCCACAAGAUCGUGACAGCCAUUGGAGGCGGUGUAUCGGUUGCUAAGGCGCGGCCUUAGAAGGCUGUAGUCGGGCCGUGAACGUCAUCUCCAUUUACUAAUCGAGUUAUCCAGCGCCUCUCAUCGAAAGAUCAGGCGAAAACCCUAGUGGGUUCACAUCAGUUGGUAAUCAGAGCAAGGUUUAUCGGUGAGAGAUUUCCAAUUCUUCGUGUUUGUUUUUCCUAUAGUCCAAAAAAAGAAAAAAAAAUAUAGCAGAUUUGUUUUCCAUAAUCCUAUAAAUCCUUUGUGCCGUGGCUAGUACUACUUAGUUAGGGCUGGUUGAAUGAGUGUUUGCUUCGGUCGUGUCCAGUGCUGGUUUUAGUUUAGUCCUUUAGAGUUUUGAGUUCUUGUCACCAUCUAGUCACAACUGCAUCCAAUCUAUUGUGGGUUGGAAUUUGAGUAGAUCUUGAUAAUAGGUGCAGCCACUUGUUGGUCUAUUCUGCGUUUCCAUCAACGUGAUCCAAAAGGAAAGAUAGCACUUCAUACUUGUGCUAGAUAUAUUGAAUUUUGAGGUUCAGCCUUACUCUAGUGAGAGGGUGAGAGUGGUGAAGUGAUAUUUUGUACUAUUUUGUUUAUAUAAUCAGGUUUUGAGGUUCCCCAAAAAAAAGAAAAGAGAAAGAAAAAAAAAUAAAAAAAAGAAAGAAAGAAAGAAAAAAUAUCAAAAAAAGGGGAUUGUUGUUCCUUUUUGUUUCCAGUAGGGCUGCUCAUUUUAUUUCUAGUGGUGUGCUGUGUUUUUCCUUUGUGUCCAGGCUCGCGUCUCUAGCACGGUCUAGGCUAGGACCAGCACAGUACCACGGUUGAGCGUUUAUUCAACUUGCUUUUUAUAACUAACGUGGUGCUAGUUCGAUCCUUGUUUCAGCCCACCUAUAGCUCCACAUAUUCUACAGCUUGAUAGGUUUUGUUGCUGCGGCACCGAUACACUUCGUCCAUUGCUGUGGAUUUGUUGGUAGCCAAUCCCUCCUGUUGAGCAAGGUAAGAAUUGGUAAGAACUUGUUAGACAGGUUGAUAGAGAGCGUCUUACAGUAGCCACAUCCUAAUAGCUGUAGGGUUUUAAUUUCUUCACCUAUUUUUCUUGUUUCCACUGUGUGUUUUUUUAAACCAUGUCAGAGACAGAGGAUACCAACAAAAUUCCACAGUCACCUCGCACUAAGGGCAUCAUACAACAUUUUGAAAGGCAAGUGAAGCUACACACAGAGGGACUUGAUGACGACUUGAAGGUGACGAAUGACAAGCUUGGGCAGUUGGAGGACACGCAGAUUGCCACAAACAACAAGAUUACAAAGAUGGAGGCAUCUAUUACUAGUAUGGAUAAAAGUCUUGCUGCUCUUCUCAAACGCUUUGAUGACUUCCACACAAUGGACAAAGAGAAGCAUAAGGAAGAAAACAAGGAGGAAGACCGAGUGGAUGGCAAUUAUGAUGAUGAUUACACUGCUGAUACGGAACGAGAUGAUCAAGACACUCAUCAUCGACGUCGCCUACGUCACACCCAUAGAGGUAUGGGUGGCCACCACCGACGCGAGGUACACAAUAAUAAUGAUGCUUUCAGUAAGAUUAAAUUUAAAAUACCUCCUUUUGAUGGUAAAUAUGACCCUGAUGCAUACAUUACUUGGGAGAUUGCUGUUGACCAAAAGUUUACAUGUCAUGAAUUCCCUGAGGAUACACGUGUUAGGGCUGCUACUAGUGAGUUCACCGAUUUUGCUUCCGUUUGGUGGAUAGAACAUGGCAAGAAAAAUCCUAAUAACAUACCUAGAACUUGGAAUGCGUUGAAACAAGUCAUGAGGGCUAGAUUUGUUCCUUCUUACUAUGCACGUGACAUGAUUAAUAAGUUGCAGCAAUUGAGACAAGGUGCUAAAAGUGUAGAAGAAUAUUAUCAGGAAUUACAAAUGGGUAUGCUGCGAUGUAAUUUAGAGGAGGAAGAAGAACCUGCUAUGGCUAGAUUUUUGGGCGGGUUAAAUCGUGAAAUCUAGGACAUUCUUGCUUAUAAAGAUUAUACUAACGUAACCCGUUUGUUUCAUCUUGCUUCUAAAGCUGAAAGGGAAGUGCAGGGACGACGUUCUAGUGCCAAAUCUAACAAUUCUGCAGGGAAAUCCUGGCAACAACGCACAUCUGCUACAUUGUCGGGUGGUCUACCUCUUCCAUCAAGCCGAUCAAUAGCUCCACCACCUUCCUACAGCGACAAACCACAUGAUUCUUCCACAAAUACAGCAACUAAAUCAGCCCAGAGACCAAUCGCUAGUGCCUCCUCGGUUAAUUCCACAGGAAGAACAAGAGAUGUUCAGUGUCAUCGAUGCAAGGGCUAUGGGCACGUACAGCGAGAUUGUCCAAACAAGCGUGUUUUGGUGGUUAACGCUGAUGGUGGGUAUUCCUCUGCUAGUGAUUUUGAUGACGAUACACGUGCUUUGCUUGCUGCUGAUGAUACAGGUAGGGAUGAAGCAAUAGAAGAGCAGAUAGGUACAGAGAAUGUAGAGCAUUAUGAGAGUCUUAUUGUGCAGCGUGUGCUUAGUGCUCAAGCGGAGAAGGUAGAGCAGAAUCAGCGGCAUACAUUGUUCCAAACAAAGUAUGUUAUUAAAGAGCGUUCUUGUCGUUUGAUUAUUGAUGGAGGUAGCUGCAACAACUUGGCUAGCAGCAACAUGAUGGAGAAGCUUGCACUUACCACCAAACCACAUCCAUAUCACAUUCGGUGGCUGAACAACAGUGGUAAGGCCAAGGUAACAAAACUAGUGCGAAUUAAUUUUACUAUUGGUUCAUACCAUGAUGUUGUUGAAUGUGAUGUUGUACCUAUGGAAGCUUGUAAUAUUCUGCUAGGUAGACCAUGGCAAUUUGAUAAGGAAUGUAUACAUCAUGGUAGAUCAAAUCAGUAUUCGUUUAUGCACCAUGAUAUGAAAAUUGUUUUGCUACCUAUGUCUCCCGAAGCUAUCGUACGUGAUGAAGUUGCUAAAAUUACCAAGCCUAAAAUUAAGAACAAUGCAGAUACCAAUGGAAAUAACAAAGAUGAGAUAAGAUUAAAUGGACAUUGCAUGCUUGCUACUAAAUUUGAAGUUAAUGAACUAAUUGCUUCCACAUCUAUUGCUUAUGCUUUGGUAUGUAAGGGUGUUUUGAUUUCAAUUGAAGAUAUGCUGCAUUCUUUGCCCCCUGCUGUUCAUAACAUUUUGCAGGAGUAUGCUGAUGUUUUUCCAAGUGAGAUACCGGCAGGGCUGCCACCUAUACGUGGGAUUGAGCACCAAAUUGAUCUUAUUCCUGGUGCAUCUUUGCCAAACCGCGCGCCAUACAGGACAAAUCCAGAGGAAACAAAAGAGAUCCAGCGGCAAGUGCAAGAACUCCUCGACAAAGGUUAUGGAAUUGAGGUUGAUCAAGCCAAGGUAGAAGCUAUACAGGGAUGGCCUGUACCAAAGACAAUCACCCAGGUGCGGAGUUUCUUAGGACUUGCUGGGUUUUAUCGCCGUUUUGUGAAGGAUUUCAGCACCAUUGCUGCACCAUUGAAUGAGCUUACAAAGAAGGGAGUGCCUUUUGUGUGGAGCAAAGUACAAGAGAAUUCCUUCAACAUGUUAAAAGAUAAGUUAACACAUGCACCUCUCCUACAGCUUCCUGAUUUUAAUAAGACUUUUGAGCUUGAGUGUGAUGCUAGUGGGAUUGGUUUGGGAGGUGUUUUGCUACAAGAGGGUAAACCUGUUGCAUAUUUUAGUGAGAAAUUGAGUGGGCCUGUUCUGAACUAUUCAACUUAUGAUAAAGAAUUGUAUGCUCUUGUCCGAACUUUAGAAACAUGGCAACAUUAUUUGUGGCCCAAAGAGUUUGUUAUUCAUUCUGAUCAUGAAUCUUUAAAACAUAUUCGUAGUCAAGGAAAACUAAAUCGCAGACAUGCUAAGUGGGUAGAAUUUAUUGAAUCCUUUCCUUAUGUUAUUAAGCACAAGAAAGGGAAGGAGAAUAUCAUUGCUGAUGCUUUGUCAAGGAGAUAUACUUUGCUAAAUCAACUUGAUUACAAGAUUUUUGGAUUAGAAACGAUCAAAGACCAAUAUGUUCAUGAUGCUGAUUUUAAUGAAGUGUUGCUGCGUUGUAAAGAUGGAAAAGGAUGGAACAAAUUCAUCGUUAGUGAUGGGUUUGUGUUUAGAGCUAACAAGCUAUGCAUUCCAGCUAGCUCUGUUCGUUUGUUGUUGUUACAGGAAGCUCAUGGAGGAGGUUUGAUGGGACAUUUUGGAGCAAAGAAGACGGAGGACAUACUUGCUGAUUUGAAACCAUAUUUGGGUGAGGAACAUGAGCUUGAGUCGAGGACGACUCAAAUCCAAGAAAGGGAGGAUGAUGAGGACAUCAACACCAUCAAUAUAUCCGCACCUACACCAGUUGGUCCUCUUACUCAUGCUCGUGCCCGUCAACUCAACCUUCAAGUAAGUUCAGUUUUAAACUCUUGUCAAUCAUAUUUAGACAAUGGAGACACGUGCACUUUCGUGUUGCUCAGGAAUAAUGGACAAGAUCAGCAAGGGAAGGUUCAACUGCAUUCGGAAUUUGAGGCAACACCAACUUCAAGGGCUGAUUGCAUAUGGGAAGAGUGAUAACUUAACAAAGGUGUUUGGAGAUCAGGUCCAAGCCUCCACAACAUCCUCUAUCAAGUUACCACGUUGCUUCUAAAGCAAGGAAACAAAGAGUCCAAACCCAACACGUUUUGUGAGUUGGAUUCGGACUGGAAAAUAACUCUAACUUGUAUGGAUCACCACGGCGUCAUAUGGACUCCAACUGGGACAUUCCUAUACUUGUUGAAAAGCUCAUGAAGUCUACUUUCCAAUGGGUCCAACCACAUAUCUAUGCAGCUUAUGAGUCGGGCGCAGUCCUUGUUUUUGUGCCACACCUUUUUCUGUUUUGGUGCUGCGUCACCCUAUUUUGGACCAAUGGCCCAUGUAUCAAGUUGAGUCCAUUAGGGACGCGUCCUAGGGUUGGAGGACGACUCUAGUACCCCUUUUGUCGUCCUCCCCUCUAUUUAUUUACAUCUAGAGCCGCCAUGAACAACUGGGUUUUGAUUAGAUAAAGUUUAGCCUUCGCUACUUGCUUGUAAACGCGCGUGCUGAUCCAGCCGCCCGUCUUCUUGUUUUCGAAACCCCACUUCAUUAGAGAUUGAGUUUGAAACCUUCAUUUACAUCUAGUAAUUUAGUACUUGUUCUACUUGUUCUUGCUGGUUCUUCGAUUGCUUGCAGGACGAGUGCCCUAGUGGCCGGGUGUUGCGCUCCACAAGAUCGUGACAGCCAUUGGAGGCGGUGUAUCGGUUGCUAAGGCACGGCCUUAGAAGGCUGUAGUCGGGCCGUGAACGUCAUCUCCAUUCACUAAUCGAGUUAUCCAGCACCUCUCAUCGAAAGAUCAGGCGAAAACCCUAGUGGGUUCACAUCAGUUGGUAAUCAGAGCAAGGUUUAUCGGUGAGAGAUUUCCAAUUCUUCGUGUUUGUUUUUCCUAUAGUCCAAAAAAAGAAAAAAAAUAUAGCAGAUUUGUUUUCCAUAAUCCUAUAAAAUCCUUUGUGCCGUGGCUAGUACUACUUAGUUAGGGCUGGUUGAAUGAGUGUUUGCUUCGGUCGUGUCCAGUGCUGGUUUUAGUUUAGUCCUUUAGAGUUUUGAGUUCUUGUCACCAUCUAGUCACAACUGCAUCCAAUCUAUUGUGGGUUCGAAUUUGAGUAGAUCUUGAUAAUAGGUGCAGCCACUUGUUGGUCUAUUCUGCGUUUCCAUCAACAUGAUCCAAAGGGAAAGAUAGCACUUCAUACUUGUGCUAGAUAUAUUGAAUUUUGAGGUUCAGCCUUACUUUAGUGAGAGGGUGAGAGUGGUGAAGUGAUAUUUUGUACUAUUUUGUUUAUAUAAUCAGGUUUUGAGGUUCCCAAAAAAAAACAAAAGAGAAAGAAAAAAAAAUAAAAAAAAAGAAAGAAAGAAAGAAAAAAAAUAAAAAAGGGGAUUGUUGUUCCUUUUGUUUCCAGUAGGGCUGCUCAUUUUGUUUCUAGUGGUGUGCUGUGUUUUCCCUUUGUGUCCAGGCUCGCGUCUCUAGCACGGUCUAGGCUAGGACCAGCACAGUACCACCGCUGAGCGUUUAUUCAACUUGCUUUUUAUAACUAACGUGGUGCUAGUUCGAUCCUUGUUUCAGCCCACCUAUAGCUCCACAUAUUCUACAGC
rnacentral:lncRNA from 1 species